rnacentral:lncRNA from 1 species
AAAAGCAUCUUCAUAGUAGAGAAACCUGACAAACACUCCCUCAGCCAGCUGAUCAGUCAUAAUCAACAGGGAUAAGUCGUGCUGCUAUGUGUCCUUGAGAUAAUGUGAUGAAAUAGCACUUGACCUCUACAGUUUUCCUCCCCCAAACCCAAAACCCCAGUUGAGACAUGCAUCAGACAAAUCCCAGUAGAAGGACAUUACACAAAAUAUCUGACCACUUCUCAAACCUGCCAAGAUCAUCAAAAACAAAUAAAUUCUGAGAAAUAUGAUCAUAGCCAAAUGGAGCUAAGGAGAUGAUGCCUAAAUGUAACACAGUCUCCUGGAUGGAACCCUGGGACAGAAAAACAACAUUACAUAAAAUUGAUUUCUCUGUGCCCACCAACACCUGCAGACGAUCUUCCAAGGAAAUGCACCUUGGCUCCAGUACCACAAGAAAAAAGAACACUGGAGCACAAGAAGACCUCAAGCGGAACACGGAAAAACGUCCUGUGCGCGGCAGUUGCAGAUGAGUUUAUAGAGCAUUAAAGGAUUAAGAGGUUCAUCAAUGGUUCUAUUACGCCACAAUGAACAACGUACACAAUCUGUUCAACUGUUCCACCACUGGUAUAGUUGGUCACAGCCCAUACAGCUUCCUUUUGUGUCUUAAAAUCUGCCUUAGAAAGAACACUGACAAGGAAUGGGACUAAUCCAUGAUUCACAACUUGCUCUAUCUGGUCCUGACGGCCAGCCGUGAUGUUUGACAUUGUCCAUGUGGCUUCCUUCUGAAUGUUAGUUUUGGGGUUGGUGAGCAGGCUGGGAAAGAUGGCAAGCGCUUCUGCAUCGAUCGCAACCUGAGUCUGUUCAUCUGUACCAGUCACAAUAUUCCCUAUGGCUCGUAGUGCAGGAGUCACAAUUGGCAAUUCAGAAGCUCCUAGAAGCUUCACAAGUUGGGGCACAACUCCUGUUUUCACGACCAGGUCAAUUUGUUCAUUUGGACCAUCAGUAAGGUAGGAACUAGCCCAGCAGGUAUCUGCUAAUACUUCUAGAUCAUCAUGAUGCAGGAGCCGAACUAAGGUAGGAAGAAUCAGCUCAACAGCAUCUAACGGGGGUGCAGGAUUCUUGUUGUGGCAAAGAUUUGAAAGUGUCCAGGUAAGAUGACGUAAGUAACCACAUGCCAAAGAUGACAUAUCAGGAACUGCAAGAAGAGCCAAGAGUGGGUCAACUGCACUGUACUUAAUAACCAAGUCUCGGAACACUGAGCCAUCACCUGCAAUGUUUCCUAGAGCCCAUACAGCUUGUUCACUGAUGUGAGCAUGGGGAGAUGCCAACAGAGAAAUGAACACUGGGAUGGCACCUCCAUCUACCACAGCCUUGGUUUGUUCUGAUGUCCCAGAAGCAAUGUUAGUGAGUGCCCAAGCAGAUUCAAACUGAAUGGGACUACAAUCAGUUCUGCCCAAGAAGGACACAAAUUUUGGAAUCAAACCAGCCUGGAUUAUGUUGUCUAUGGGGGGCUGUUUUUCUCUAGAAAGUAGUUUCCUGGCAGCUUGAGUAGCUUGGAGCUGAUUUUCCACGUUGUUGCUAUUUAUGCCUUUGACAAUGUCAUCAACAGACCAAUUUACAGUGCCCUGGUUGUUGCGGUUUUCCUGCAGUGGAGAAGUAGCAUCAUCAGGAAAUGAGCUUACAUUUCUCCUCUUCAGCAUCUGAUCAUCCUUCUUAGCUUUCCUCAGCUCCACAUUGACUUCUAUUCUGUGACGCCUCAUUUCUGUACUGUCUUUUCCCUUGUUCUUCAAUCUGUUAAGAUGGGCAGCAGGUGUAGGUGCAUUCUUGUUGGUGGACAUAGUUAUGAGACAAAGGGAGAAAGCUACAAAGCAGGCCCGGGCUUCCACAGGAGGCUUAAGCAGGGAUCCGUGGCUAUGGGGAGGCUGCGCUAAAAACGACCAUCUUGGCUUCAGCUCAAAGACUGUGUCAGAUUUUUUUUUUGACUGUAUUAAAAUAAACAGAGUUUGAAACAUCUGGCCGGUCUUUGUUUUUCUAUAAUAUACAUCAAUUAGUAACUAUUUUUAAAGGCCCUUUCUAUAAUGUCUAAAAACCCUGGUAUAAUGUACCAAUAAAAAAAAAAAAAAAGGACAGGCACGGUGGCUCACGCCUGUAAUCCCACCACUUUGGGAGGCCAAAGCGGGCAGAUCACCUAAGGUCAUGAGUUCAAGACCAGCCCGACCAAUAUAGUGAUACCCCGUCUCUACUAAAAAUCACAAAAAUUAGCUGGGCAUGGUAGCACAUACCUAUAGUCCCGGCUACUUGGGAGGCUGAGACAGAAGUGCUUGAACCCAGGAGGCAGAGGUUGCAGUGAGCCGAGAUCAUGCCUCCACACUCCA